AAUCAACGCUGGCGGCGUGCCUCAGACAUGCAAGUCGAACGCGAAAGUUCCCUUCGGGGGGCGAGUAGAGUGGCGCACGGGUGAGUAACACGUAGGUAAUCUACCUUUGGGUGGGGAAUAACAGCCGGAAACGGCUGCUAAUACCGCAUAAUGCAGCGGCUCGACAUCGAGACAGUUGUUAAAGGCGGGGGAUCGCAAGACCUCGCGCCUAAAGAGGAGCCUGCGGCGGAUUAGCUUGUUGGUGAGGUAAUGGCUCACCAAGGCAUCGAUCCGUAGCCGGCCUGAGAGGGCGGUCGGCCACACUGGCACUGACAUACGGGUCAGACUCCUACGGGAGGCAGCAGUCGGGAAUUUUGGGCAAUGGGCGCAAGCCUGACCCAGCAACGCCGCGUGAAGGAU
rnacentral:rRNA from 1 species